GAUGAAGAACGCAGCGAAAUGCGAUAAGUAAUGUGAAUUGCAGAAUUCAGUGAAUCAUCUAAUCUUUGAACGCACCUUGCGCCCUUUGGCCAUUCCGAAGGGCAUGCCUGUUUGAGUAUCAUGAACACCUCAACUCUUCAUGGUUUUCCAUGAUGAGCUUGGACUUUGGGGGUCUUGCUGGCCUGUGGGUCGGCUCCUCUCAAAUGAAUCAGCUUGCCGGUUUUUGGUGGGCAUCACAGGUGUGAUAACUAUCUACGCUUGUGGUUUUCCACCAGGGUAACCUUCAGCAGUGGAGGUUCACUGGAGCUUACAAAUGUCUCUCCUCUGUGAGGACAGCCCUUUGAAUGUUUGAUCUCAAAUCAGGUAGGACUACCCGCUGAACUUAAGCAUAUCAAUAAGCGGAGGA
rnacentral:misc_RNA from 1 species